CCUACGGGCGGCAGCAGUCGAGAAUCAUUCACAAUGGGGGAAACCCUGAUGGUGCGACGCCGCGUGGGGGAAUGAAGGUCUUCGGAUUGUAAACCCCUGUCAUGUGGGAGCAAAUUAAAAAGAUAGUACCACAAGAGGAAGAGACGGCUAACUCUGUGCCAGCAGCCGCGGUAAUACAGAGGUCUCAAGCGUUGUUCGGAAUCACUGGGCGUAAAGCGUGCGUAGGCUGUUUCGUAAGUCGUGUGUGAAAGGCGCGGGCUCAACCCGCGGACGGCACAUGAUACUGCGAGACUAGAGUAAUGGAGGGGGAACCGGAAUUCGCGGUGGAGCAGUGAAAUGCGGAGAUAGCGAGAGGAACACUCGUGGCGAGGGCGGGUUCCUGGACAUUAACUGACGCUGAGGCACGAAGGCCAGGGGAGCGAAAGGGAUUAGAUACCCGAGUAGUC
rnacentral:rRNA from 1 species